rnacentral:rRNA from 1 species
UCUGUUGCCUUUGGGACCCGCUCCUAACCGUCUCGACGAGACAACGUUUGGGCGUGUCUCCCUUCUCGGGAGACNCUCUCGACCCCACGAACCCUUGNCCUCAAAUCGGGUGAGACUACCCGCUGANNUUAAGCAUAUCAAUAAGCGGANGAAAAGAAACUAACA